rnacentral:lncRNA from 1 species
GUGGUCAAGGGGAGAUAAUUUUGAUAUAUUUUAGAGUAUCUAACUAAUUUUCUGAUUUUCUUAGUUGCAGGCCUUUAUCCAGGUAUGCACAUAAAAUAGAUAGAAAUCUGCUAUCUUCAUUAAUCAUGAUCCAUGAAAAAAGAUCAUUUAUAUUUAAACUAUCUAAACUGGGGUAUUUUUUUUAUAUAAUCAGUGAUAUCUCUUCUGAGGUUAUUGUAAAAAGGGCA